GAUGAAGAACGUAGCGAAAUGCGAUACUUGGUGUGAAUUGCAGAAUCCCGUGAACCAUCGAGUCUUUGAACGCAAGUUGCGCCCGAAGCCACUAGGCCGAGGGCACGCCUGCCUGGGCGUCACACGCCGUUGCCCCCCCAUCUACUCCUUCGGGAUUGCGGGGGGGCGGAUGAUGGCCUCCCGUGCGCCUAGCCGCGCGGUUGGCAUAAAUACCAAGUCCUCGGCGACGCACGCCACGACAAUCGGUGGUUGCGAAACCUCGGUUGCCCGUCGUGUGCGUUCGUCGCGCAUCGAGGGCUCGAAAAAAUGCUCGGCUCCGGCUGGGCUUUCAACGCGACCCCAGGUCAGGCGGGGUUACCCGCUGAAUUUAAGCAUAUCGAUAAGCGGAGGA
rnacentral:misc_RNA from 1 species